AGUGGCAGCCCGCUCUGGUCUCUUUCCAGAUUGUGGAAGCUUUGUUCUUUCACUCUUUGCUUUAAAUCUUGCUGCUGCUCACUCACUCUUUGGGUCCACACUGCUUUUAUGAGCUGUAACACUCACCGCAAAAGUCUGCAGCUUCACUCUUGAAGCCAGCGAGACCAGGAGCCCACCAGGAAGAAAGAGCAACUUUAGAUGCGCUGCCUUAAGAGCUGUAACACUCACUGCAAUGGUCUGCAGCUUCACUCCUGAGCCAGCGAGACCCCGAACCCACCAGAAGGAAGAAACUCCGAACACAUCCAAAUAUCAAAAGGAACAAACUCCAGACGCGCCACCUUAAGAGCUGUAACACUCACCACGAGGGUCCGCGGCUUCAUUCUUGAAGUCAGUGAGACCGAGAACCCACCAAUUCUGGAUACACCAUCAGCGUGUUGAGACUUUCUUGCAAAAAUGCCUGUUUGGGAUUCCUCAGAGUACAGACAAAAAGGAAGGCUUGAUCAGCAUGUGGUGGAUCUGAAGAUUCAAAGAAUUGCCAUGGCUCAAAAGUAGACAUUUUGGUAAAUGUGAAGAAGUGAGAUUCAAUGAAGAUAAGAAAUGAAAGGUGUUACCAAAAGUGUCAAGCCUGUGGCAGCAGAGCUUCCUGGGGAGUCCUCAGAGCAAGUCAUUGCCGUUGUCGAAGUGUCUUCUAGGCUUUAUUUUGGGGCCAUUACCUCGAGCACUGUUUCUUGUCUGGUUUUCUAAUGUCAGCAACUGAAGAAAAGACCUGUACACACAGGACACAGCAUGGUCUGACGCUCACAGUGUUUUCCUUUCUCUCUGCAGAAGGAUUCAGCACUUUGGGCAAGUGGUUGCACGGAGGAUCCCGUGGAAGAAUUCAUAUAUGAAUCAGAUGAGGAUGCCCCAGGACCGUCGAAGGUCAGACCACCUGCUUUUGUCAAAGAAAAAAGAUAACCCCUAUUUGAAUUAAAAUAUGAGAAUCUGACCGUAUGUAUCAUAGGUGACUUACAUAGUGUCCUUGGUAAGGAGAAUUUAGAGUGAGAGUCUGUUCCCCACUGAGGUUUGAUUUAAGAUGGCAGAAGAAAAUGACAUCAUCAGCCACUCAGCAGCUUGAUUCUCUCCUUGGGGCAAAAUCACUUAAUUGCCAAGCAACAUGGACUUACAGGAAACAUCCUCCAAUAAAAACUUAGGUUUUUAGCAUGA